AGAUAACAGAUAUUAAACAGAGAGUCACAAAAGGAUUCUAUGAUUGCAACAGACUCCAAUGCUAUGGAAACAGAGUCCAAGGUUCUCUUAGAAUGCAUGACAUGGAGACCUAUUGUAGACUAGGGGAAGGGGUGAAUAUUGUGACAAUGUGUUUCAGUCUGAAGUUUGAGCAGAGCCUGGGUAAGAGGGUGGGAGUGGUGAAUGGGAGAAGAACAUUCUAGAUGGAAGAAACUGUGAGUGGCCAGGCCCUGAGGAUGGAAGGCCAUUGGCAAGUUCCCAGAGGCCCAAAUGCCUGGGGAGUGGUGAGCAAAAAGGAAGGUGGCAGAGACAAAGCUGGAACAGCAGAUGGGCAGACCUUCGUUACCCUCAUGCCCGGCUCACCUCACUAUGGCUGUCUGGAACACACGCCCCUGUGAACUGUCAAUGAGACCCCCCUGGCCUUGUCAUCUUUGAGGUGGGGCAGAUAUUUGAACAAAAAGCUUCACAGAUACCUGGGAUAUGCCCGUCCUCUCCUGCUUGUGUUUGGGCUAACCAAUCUGCUAACGGGAAGAAAUCAGAAAUAUUGCUCAGCUUUUGUUGUGUAUAUUUGAAGGCUUUUCUGGGAUGCUCAAGAGACAGAAAUGCCAUCCCAGAAGUGGACCCUGGGAAAGCUGUGAGAAAAGGUUUCGAGUCUCAGACGGUCCAGGAGCACCCACAUGGUUUUUAGACCGGAAGUUUGAUUCAGCUUUUCAGUCCAAGAGAAAGGCGGUCCCAGCCAGCUCAGGACAGGCUACUCUUUCACUCUGUCAGUGGGCUAAACACUUGAAUGGACAUUUCUCCAAAGAAGAUUCACAAAUGGCCAAGAGUAUAUGAAAAGAUGCUUAGAGUCACUAAUCAUCAGGCAAAUGCAAAUCAAAACCACAAAGAGAUACUACCUUAUGCCUAUCCCUCUACCCUCCUCCCCAACC